UCGACGCAGUCUGACUGUGCCAGCUUCCGCACCCAGUCCAGAGAAAGAAACCCUCAGAUCUAAGUCUAGAAGCUCCUAAUGCAAAAGCUGUGGAGGAUUCGAGAGGGAUUUCCCCACAACGUCCCCAGGCGGCGGGAAAGCAGCAGGCUGCAGGGGCUCGACAGGUACCCACGUUUGCUUCCUCCGGCGCGUCUCCGGGCGUCUGGGUUCCAUCUUCUUGCACCAGAACGGUUAAAAGCUGAGAUUCGCUACUAAAUCAAUACUAGCCCAGACCAAUGCUAGACUGAGGGAGAGAAGAACAGACCGAUAAGAAGAGGUGAUUGGAAGGAGUUUGUCUUCAGGAAGACUCAAUUAUACUGGACAUAAAGAACUUCUUGAAAGGGCAUGAAAAUCACAACACAGAAACAUCAUGCCUUUGGUUCCUGCUAAGCAUCUCUCUGACAUGCGAAGUAAUCAAGACCUUCUGGUGAAACCAGUUCCCUCAUCAGGGUUGAGCAUGAUUGAUGGUGAUGUGAGGCUGCUUUGCUCAUGGAAUUUCAAGGAGCUAUGGCAUGUUUAUGCUAAAAGGCUGAAAUGUGAGUUUGAUAAUAAGCCUUAUUCAAUUUGGAGCAACCUCGGAGUAGCAGAGAAACAAAAAUGGAAGGGAGUCUGAGUCUCUGAUACCUUCAAUCUGCUAUACAGUCAAUGGACUACCUACUCAAGCUGUUUUGGGAAGGAAGAAAUAAAUUACUCUUGAUUUGUAUGAAGAACAAAAAGCUCCUCAGAAGCUAGGUUUCAGUGAUUUUUAUGAAAUGCUGAUUUACCCACCAUCCGCUGGCUGGUCAGCCCUUUUGCUUCUUUGUUACAAUUAUAUCCACAUGCCUAAGAUGAUCCCAUGGAGUUACAGGAUAUGGAAGUAUUUCCAGCAUUAACA